rnacentral:rRNA from 1 species
GUUUGAUCAUGGCUCAGGACGAACGCUGGCGGCGUGCCUAACACAUGCAAGUCGAACGGCCCGCCCCGUUGGAUCCCUUCGGGGAGAAGACGGGUUCCCGGGCAGUGGCGGACGGGUGAGUAACGCGUGGAGAACCUGUCUCUCAGUUGGGGAUAACCUGGCGAAAGUCGGGCUAAUCCCGAAUACGCUCUUGAGGUGGCAUCACUUCGGGAGGAAAGGUGCUUUCGGGCAUCGCUGAGAGGUGGCUCCGCGUCGGAUUAGCUAGCUGGUGGGGUAACGGCUCACCAGGGCGACGAUCCGUAGCUGGUCUGAGAGGAUGAUCAGCCACACUGGGACUGAGACACGGCCCAGACUCCUACGGGAGGCAGCAGUGGGGAAUCUUCCGCAAUGGGCGAAAGCCUGACGGAGCAGCGCCGCGUGAACGAAGAAGGCCUUCGGGUCGUAAAGUUCUGUCCUCAGGGAAGAACCUCAUGGGAGGAAUGCCCAUGAGCUGACGGUACCUGGGAAGGAGCCCUGGCUAACUACGUGCCAGCAGCCGCGGUA